rnacentral:rRNA from 1 species
CCCUUAGGACAAGAACAACCCCGGGAAACUGGGGCUAAUUCUCGAUAGGUGAAGAACUCUGGAAUGAGUCUUUGCCCGAAAAGGCGUUUAGAUCAUGCUUUUAGGCGUCGCCUAAGGAUGGGACCGCGUCCGAUCAGGUUGUUGGUGAGGUAAUGGCCCACCAAGCCUAUAACCGGUGCGGGCCGUGAGAGCGGGAGCCCGGAGAUGGGUACUGAGACAAGGACCCAGGCCCUACGGGGCGCAGCAGUCGCGAAAACUUUGCAAUACACGAAAGUGUGACAGGGUCAUCCCGAGUGCCGACCGCUGAGGUUGGCUUUUAACCAGUUUAGAAAGCUGGUAGAAUAAGGAGAGGGCAAGUCUGGUGUCAGCCGCCGCGGUAAUACCAGCUCUCCGAGUGGUGUGGACGUUUAUUGGGCCUAAAGCAUCCGUAGCUUGCUGGGCAAGUCCCCUGUUAAACCCACCGAUUUAAUCGUUGGCUUGCGGGGGAAACUGCUCGGCUAGGGGACGAGAGAGGCAGACGGUAUUUCCGGGGUAGGGGUGAAAUCCUAUAAUCCCGGGAAGACCACCAGUGGCGAAGGCUGUCUGCUAGAACGAGCCCGACGGUGAGGGAUGAAAGCUGGGGGAGCGAACCGGAUUAGAUACCCGGGUAGUCCCAGCUGUAAACGAUGCAGGCUAGGUGUUUGGACGGCCACGUGCCGUUCUAGUGCCGCAGGGAAGCUGUUAAGCCUGCCGCCUGGGGAGUACGAUCGCAAGAUUGAAACUUAAAGGAAUUGGCGGGGGAGCACCACAAGGGGUGAAGCUUGCGGUUUAAUUGGAUUCAACGCCGGAA